CUUCCCUCUUGUGCUGGCACAGCUGUGCACACCUUCACCUGACGGAGCCCAUCGGGGCACCAAUCCUGCUCCAAGCACCUGGCACAAGGGAAGGACACCACAGCAACAAGGAACUAGAAUCCUAAAUUAGACACAAUGCUUCAUGGAAGCCAAAUAUGAGAUCUGAAGUGAGAAGUAGCAUGAUCAAACAAAUGACCUGACUGCUGCUCACAUGUGAAAAACCCAGCACUUACAUGAGAAGACCUCAACCAACUCAAGGACGUGUGUGCAUUUGUGGACAGCACUUACUUCAGCAUCUAAUUAUCC